rnacentral:rRNA from 1 species
UACAGAGGGGGCAAGCGUUGUUCGGAAUUACUGGGCGUAAAGGGCGCGUAGGCGGCCUUCUAAGUCGAACGUGAAAUCCCCGGGCUCAACCCGGGAACUGCGUCCGAUACUGGAAGGCUUGAAUCCGGGAGAGGGAUGUGGAAUUCCAGGUGUAGCGGUGAAAUGCGUAGAUAUCUGGAGGAACACCGGUGGCGAAGGCGACAUCCUGGACCGGUAUUGACGCUGAGGCGCGAAAGCUAGGGGAGCAAACGGGG